rnacentral:misc_RNA from 1 species
GACCAAUUAACAAUACACGCUUGUUGUAUCCCAUUUACCCUUUUAUAAUCGACUCCAGAAGCAAAAUUAUUUUUUUUUCAUCAAGAAUUAAACUUUUCAAACCUAUCCUAAAAGAGAAACCACGUUCUUCUUCUUGCAGUAGAAAGAGAGUAUGAAUCUCCAAGAACUUCCGAGUUUACCUGCAAUAUGCUUUCUCUGCAUCCAGAACACCCUU